rnacentral:lncRNA from 1 species
UGGCCUUGUAGUCCGGCCCUCCUCAGAGCUGAGCUCGCUCUCAGCUGAAGGAAGGAGCUCUGAGGAAGGUUGUGAAUGUGACCUCCUCACCGUCCGAGCAGAUUUACAGAAAACAAACAAACUGAAAUCAGGAGUGAAAACGUGUGAAAUGGAUCCACUGUGGAGAGGACAGCAGGAAAUAUGAACAUGUUUACAUAAAGGUGCUGCGUGGGUCAGAGGAUCCUGUCAGAAGGCUCUGUGCACGCAGGUGUCGGAAGCAAUGUGACGCUGAAAACUCCGAUUCACGACCUGCAGAGCUCGGCUCUGUUCUGGCACUUUAAUGACGGGAAGGAGAUUGUAAAUGUUGCCUCGGUGAGCUCCUCCACGCUCAGACUGAACACGUCCUACGAGGGCAGAGCGUGGAUUAAUCCAGCCAACGGCCACUUGACCCUGGGCGCGCUGACACUGCAGGACAGUGGGGAAUAUAUCAUCACCAUCGUAUACAAACACGGUCAGAGCGACAUUGCAAAGAUACGCCUCACGGUCUCAGGGACCCAGAACGGAGGAAAUCCACGCGCUCGCUCUUCACUCGUCACAUGUGGACGCUCGGUUUUCAGCACGUACGGCCAAACCGUGUCAGGACCAGGUGUGGCGGUCCCAGCUGCAACAAUGAAAUCUCCACCCACCGGCACCACCCCCAUGCCAGCUCUCCCUGAGCAGAUCACAGAUUACUUUGUGUCUCUGGUUGUGUGUGUGGUUGUGAUCGUCGUGCUGUCGGCUGGUUUCCUGCUGCUCCUCUACAGAUGGAUGGAGAACAGGAAAAACAGGAAUUCAGAUGGAAGACAGGUGGAGAUACCUGCGGCCCAGCAGAAGAACGGAGCUCCAGGAUCCACAUGUGAAGACUCCACCUACCAGACCAUGACUCCAGCCCCCACAGACCUGGACCACAUCUACUCCACCCUCACUGACAUGCAGUACAUGUCACAUGUGCGAUACAUUCAAACGGACACAAUUUCCUGCAAAUCACUAACAUCCCAGUAA